CGUCAGAUACUGCGGAGAGACAUUAUCUAUUCCAUGAGGUGCGGUCGCGGCCCUCGGCGGGAGCAACAGCUGCCGUCGGGCGGUAGAGGUAACACUUUCACGCGCCGCAUGUCUGAAUCCUUUUUUUACGAGCACCUUUCGUUCUCCUUCGGCGGGGCAACCUGCCGUUGGAACCUAUCAAAACCUUUUUUUUGCAUCUAGCAUUACCUGUUCUGAUACAAACAAUCGUUACAACUUUCAACAAUGGAUCUCUUGGCUCUGGCAUCGAUGAAGAACGCAGCGAAAUGCGAUAAGUAGUGUGAAUUGCAGAAUUCAGUGAAUCAUCGAAUCUUUGAACGCACAUUGCGCCCCUUGGUAUUCCAUGGGGCAUGCCUGUUCGAGCGUCAUCUACACCCUCAAGCUCUGCUUGGUGUUGGGCGUCUGUCCCGCCUCUGCGCGCGGACUCGCCCCAAAUUCAUUGGCAGCGGUCCUUGCCUCCUCUCGCGCAGCACAUUGCGCUUCUCGAGGGGCGCGGCCCGCGUCCACGAAGCAACAUUACCGUCUUUGACCUCGGAUCAGGUAGGGAUACCCGCUGAACUUAAGCAUAUCAUAAGGCGGGAGAAA
rnacentral:rRNA from 1 species